AUUGAACGCUGGCGGCAGGCCUAACACAUGCAAGUCGAGCGGUUGAGGGGAGCUUGCUCCCUGAUUCAGCGGCGGACGGGUGAGUAAUGCCUAGGAAUCUGCCUAUUAGUGGGGGACAACUUUUCGAAAGGAACGCUAAUACCGCAUACGUCCUACGGGAGAAAGCAGGGGACCUUCGGGCCUUGCGCUAAUAGAUGAGCCUAGGUCGGAUUAGCUUGUUGGUGAGGUAAUGGCUCACCAAGGCGACGAUCCGUAACUGGUCUGAGAGGAUGAUCAGUCACACUGGAACUGAGACACGGUCCAGACUCCUACGGGAGGCAGCAGUGGGGAAUAUUGGACAAUGGGCGAAAGCCUGAUCCAGCCAUGCCGCGUGUGUGAAGAAGGUCUUCGGAUUGUAAAGCACUUUAGGUUGGGAGGAAGGGUUGUAGAUUAAUACUCUGCAAUUUUGACGUUACCGACAGAAUAAGCACCGGCUAACUCUGUGCCAGCCGCCGCAGUAACAC
rnacentral:rRNA from 1 species